rnacentral:rRNA from 1 species
UACGUAGGGACCGAGCGUUGUCCGGAAUCAUUGGGCGUAAAGAGCGUGUAGGCGGCUAUUUAAGUCCUGCGUGAAAUCCUGCGGCUCAACCGCAGACGGUCGUGGGAAACUGGAUGGCUAGAGUGCGGGAGAGGAGAGUGGAAUUCCCGGUGUAGCGGUGAAAUGCGCAGAUAUCAGGAGGAACACCGAUGGCGAAGGCAGCUCGCUGGGACGGUACUGACGCUGAGACGCGAAAGCGUGGGGAGCAAACAGG